rnacentral:lncRNA from 1 species
UUUUUCUUGGGCUUUCCAUGUAAUGCAUGAUUUUCCAUCUUGUACCCACGGUGAAGGCGCGAAAGCCGUUGCUUGUUAGUGCUUGAGUUUGAUUGCAAACUCAAAGUAAAGAAACCUUUCGAGCUGUAGUUUGACAGCGAUAGGGCUUAGGGCCAGCAGAACUCUUUCCUUCAUUGUGGUGCCCCCUCUAUCCGAGUGGGAGGCCCAUACCGCGCUGAGGAAAGAAUGACACUUUACAAGACCAUU